rnacentral:rRNA from 1 species
UACGGAGGGUGCAAGCGUUGUCCGGAAUCACUGGGCGUAAAGGGCGCGUAGGCGGCUCAUGAAGGCUGUGGUGAAAGUCCGGGGCUCAACUCCGGAUCUGCGGUGGGUACGGGCAGACUAGAGUGUGGUAGGGGAGACUGGAAUUCCUGGUGUAGCGGUGAAAAUGCGCAGAUAUCAGGAGGAACACCAGUGGCGAAGGCGGGUCUCUGGGCCGAUACUGACGC